rnacentral:rRNA from 1 species
UACGUAGGGGCAGCAGUCGUCGGAUCGAUUGGUGCGUAAAGCGCGUGUAGGCGGCCCGGUAAGUCCGCUGUGAAAGUCGGGGGCUCAACCCUCGGAUGCCGGUGGAUACUGUCGGGCUAGAGUGCGGGAGAGGCGAGUGGAAUUCCUGGUGUAGCGGGUGAAAUGCGGCAGAUAUCAGGAGGAACACCAAUUGCGAAGGCAGCUCGCUGGAACGUUACUGACGCUGAGACGCGAAAGCGUGGGGAGCAAACAGG